GCUCCAGUUAGGAGGUGGCCCCAGUUGGGCAGCCUCUCGGGUCACCGAGCCUCCUGCAAGCCCCCCAGUUAUGCACAGGGCGAGACCUUUCCUGCAUAUCAAGCAGCCUUCACUGAACAGCACACGUAGACUGGCUUAGGCCACCCACUCCCCAUAGCCAGACGUGUUUCUGCCAUCCCCUGGGAGUUGAGAAAAGAAGCAUAGACUGAAAUUGGGGUUCUCUGGCCAGUCUUCACAACAGGAACUGGGGAGGCCCUGAGUCAAAGGGUAAUCUGGGCCUCACUCCUGUGAGGGUUCAAUCUCGUGGAACAUGAGACUCCAGGAAAAUUCCACUAAGUGCACUGACGGUGCACUCAGCUGCAGAGGAGGCAGUGGACGAUCCUAAGUACCAAGGAAGACUUCCCAGGUUUGGGGGGACAGCCUGAGUCAGCUCCUGACAGGCCAGGAACCCCAAGCUCUGUCUGGAGCCUCAGGACGGGAGGCUCAGGAGCGGUCUUGCUUAACAGCCUGCACAGCUCCACCAGCUUUCACCCGCACCUACUUCUCUGGCACCAGCCUUUCUCUCUCCACUCUUGCCUUGGGCCCUAGUUUGCCCCUACUCUGAAACACUUUUAUCUCAGGUAUCUGUGUGGCUCACUUCUUGACAAUCCUUGGGUCUUAAAUACCACCUCUUCAGGGAAAUGUCCGCUUGCCCCUAUUUAAAAACAAUACUGCACCCCAAAACUUCCUUGCUUUCUUUUACUCCAUAGCAUUCCGUUGCCAUAUUGCCUGUCUGCGCCACUAAGUCCAAAAGGGCCAGACCUGGAACUGUUCCCACCCUGGAGGUCUGGGACACCAGCAGUGCUCCUACAGACCAACACAUCCCAAGAGAGGCACGGCGUGGAGCGAGCAGAGAAGGGGAAGCCUGACUGUAAAGUAACUAGAAGACGUCCUGGUGGAUUGCAGACGUCACACUGCUGGAAACAUUCCUCCUGGAGAGGGUGCGUCCCCCCUUGAAUCCGGCUGCCCUGGGAAUGCUGGGAACAAUGGAGUGUGCUGGAAGGGGUGCGAUGGUCCCCAGACUGGCCCAGUGACAGCUGAGCACUGUGAAGUGACCCCAGUGGAUGGGACACGGAGCUGAAGAGUCACCCUGCCGAGCUCUGCCCAAAAUCCUAACCCACAACAGCACAAGUUAUAAUAAAAUGGUUGCUUUAAACAA